rnacentral:rRNA from 1 species
UAAAGCGUGCGCAGGCGGUUAUGUAAGACAGAUGUGAAAUCCCCGGGCUCAACCUGGGAACUGCAUUUGUGACUGCAUGGCUAGAGUACGGUAGAGGGGGAUGGAAUUCCGCGUGUAGCAGUGAAAUGCGUAGAUAUGCGGAGGAACACCGAUGGCGAAGGCAAUCCCCUGGACCUGUACUGACGCUCAUGCACGAAAGCGUGGGGAGCAAACAGGAUUAGAUACCCCGU